CGGGCAGGCGGCGGUCCAAGUCGGACGUGAAAGCUCCUGGCUCAACUGGGAGAGGCCGUUCGAAACUGGGUCGCUAGAGGACGGUAGAGGCAUGUGGAAUUCCGGGUGGAGUGGUGAAAUGCGUAGAGAUCCGGAGGAACACCAGAGGCGAAGGCGGCAUGCUGGGCCGCACCUGACGCUGAGCCGCGAAAGCCAGGGUAGCGAACG
rnacentral:rRNA from 1 species